CCCUGACUGGGAGGCUCUGCUUUCCACAGAACUCUGAUGCUGGGGCCAAGAAAUCAGGGGAUGGGGAGAAGGAACAGGCUCUCCAUAAGCCCAGCCAUGCCCUUGGGAAGGGGGAAGAAGACAAACCUACCGACUGGAUGAAGUAGGGGUCCUGCAGAAGGGCACCAGUGGCCCAAAGAGACACUGGAUCAGCUGAAGAGAAA
rnacentral:lncRNA from 1 species